UCUUCUGGACAGCUCAGUCAGUACAGCAUGAGACUCCUAAUCUCAAGGUUGUGGGUUCCAGCCUCACAUUGGAGAA